UCUCAACUUAGGUUUUACAGGAAGUCAGUCAAUGCCAUUGUGAUGUUAGCCCUCAUCUUAUCUUGUAAUUUCUGUUACAUCAACUCCAGCACUCUAAUUAUGUGUUUUGUCAUAGGUGCAAAAGGCUUGUCUAAGAUACGCUGGCAGUCUACACCGCAUGGCCUGCGUUGCUGACAUUGAGUGAAAGUUCCUGUGCCUGACAUAUACUUGAGGAAGCAUCUUGGAGGUUGUCAAGGAGAAUGGAGGCAUUGCCAGAAGGAAGGACUAGAGUGGCGAAGUGAUCCAAAGGCAGACUGCACAUCUACAUAUAUGGUUUGCAAGGAACAUCCCGUGCCAGACACUGUGAUACAAGGCAUGGAGCUGUACAGUGAACUCGGAGCAUCUCUUGUGCAUGUGUGAUGCUCUUUGGACUCGGUUACCGGUAUAUACCCUCAAUCUCAACUCUGUGGAUUUGGAUUUACAAUUUUAAGUAUCCAGAUGAACUGAAAUAUAUGUUCUGGUGAAUUUGGAAAAUAUGCCCAAAAGGUUCAAUCACUAUAAACU